rnacentral:misc_RNA from 1 species
GGUUGGAUCAUUACCAAUAUAUAUACUAUGUUUUUUUUCCUUUUUGAUUUUUUAUAAUCGGAGGGGGGAGGAAAUGUAUGUAUACAAAACCCAAAUGUGAACUUGUAAUUGUUUUUGGUAGUAUUCUUUGAUCUUUGCCAAAUUUUAUUGGGGCCCUUCCUAAAAAAAAGGGCUAUCGAAGAACUAUCAAAGGGAAAAGAAUAUUUUCUCAACUUAUCAAACCCAAAAAAUCUUCUUUUUUUAAAAAAGUCUUAUUUUUGAGUUUUUGACUGAUUUCUUAUUGUUUUAUUACAAAGAGAGAGAGGAUCAAAAAUUUCUUAAAAGCCAAUUGAAAAAACAACUUUUAACAACGGAUCUCUUGGCUCUCGCAACGAUGAAGAACGCAGCGAAAUGCGAUAAGUAAUGUGAAUUGCAGAACUUCGUGAAUCAUCAAAUCUUUGAACGCACAUUGCGCUCUAUGGAAACAUAGAGCAUGCCUGUUUGAGUAUCAUUUUUAACCCUCUCACGAAAGUGGAUAUGAUAGUCUUGGCCAAGUUAGGCCCAGUCUUUCGAAAAUGAUUCAAAAAUGUUUCAGUUCUUCCCUUUUUUUAAUCGGGAUUUACUGAACUCCCAAUCAUUCGAGAUAUUUCUUCUUGAAUAAUUGGUGAUUAGCAGGGAGAAUCUAAAAGGGGCUUCCAAAGCAAUAUUAAAAAAAAAAAAAAAAACCUUGAAUGCUGCGGCAUUAUUAAAACUCGGUUCUUUUUUACAUUUUUUUUUAAUACUUUUUAGUUGACUCUCUCAAUUUGCUUUGGUUUCAUUACCAAAACAAAGAUACAAACCUUUGGUCUCAAAUCAGGCAAGACUACCCGCUGAACUUAAGCAUAUUAAUAAGCGGAGGAAAAGAAACUAACAAGGAUUCCCCUAGUAACGGCGAGUGAAGCGGGAACAGCUCAAAUUUGAAAUCUCCUUCGGGCGAAUUGUAGUUUAGAGAAGUGUUUUCUGGGGUAGCUCAGGCAUAGGUCCUUUGGAAAGAGGCGUCAUAGAGGGUGAGAACCCCGUCUGUGGCCUGAAGCCUACUCCUUUGUGAUACACUUUCAAAGAGUCGAGUUGUUUGGGAAUGCAGCUCAAAAUGGGUGGUAAAUACCAUCUAAAGCUAAAUAUUGGCGAGAGACCGAUAGCGAACAAGUACCGUGAGGGAAAGAUGAAAAGAACUUUGAAAAGAGAGUUAAAAAGUACGUGAAAUUGUUAAAAGGGAAACGCUUGAAAUCAGUGUUGCAGCCCAGCAAUCAGCCAUUCCAUAGGAUGGUGCACUUGCUGGGAGCAGGUCAGCAUCAGUUUACUGUGGAGUAAAAAGCUGCGAAUCAGCCUUUUAGGUUGGGUCGCCGUCAUGCUCUGCGGUGGACUGAGGACUGCUUUAACAGGAUGCUGACGAAAUGGUUUUAAACGACCCGUCUUGAAACACGGACCAAGGAGUCUAACAAAUAUGCGAGUAUUCGGGUGAUAAACCCCUAUGCGCAAUGAAAGUGAAAAUGGUGGGAUCUUCGGUGCACCAUCGACCGGUCUGGAUUUUUUUGAUAGAUCUGAGUAGGAGCAUAUCUGUUAGGACCCGAAAGAUGGUGAACUAUGCCUGAAUAGGGUGAAGCCAGAGGAAACUCUGGUGGAGGCUCGUAGCGAUUCUGACGUGCAAAUCGAUCGUCAAAUUUGGGUAUAGGGGCGAAAGACUAAUCGAACCAUCUAGUAGCUGGUUCCCUC